rnacentral:tRNA from 1 species
GGGGAUUUAGCUCAGUGGUAGAGCGCUUGCCUAGCAAGCGCAAGGCCCUGGGUUCGGUCCCCAGCUCCCCCG